rnacentral:tRNA from 1 species
CCUGGACUGGUGUAAUGGUAACACGGCGGAUGACACUUCCGGGGGGCGCAGUUCCAGGUUCGAUUCCUGGGUCUGGGG